GUGCUUGCUUUGGCAGCACUUACACUAAAAUUAGACAGAGAAGAUUAGCAUGGCCCCUGAGCAAGGAUGACAUGCAAAUUUGUGAAGCAUUCCAAUUUUUG
ensembl:snRNA U6 U6 spliceosomal RNA